rnacentral:rRNA from 1 species
ACUCCCCUACGGGACGCAGCAGUGGGGAAUAUUGCACAAUGGGGGAAACCCUGAUGCAGCAACGCCGCGUGAGUGAAGAAGUAUUUCGGUAUGUAAAGCUCUAUCAGCAGGGAAGAGAAUGACGGUACCUGACUAAGAAGCCCCGGCUAACUACGUGCCAGCAGCCGCGGAAAUACGUAGGGGGCAAGCGUUAUCCGGAUUUACUGGGUGUAAAGGGAGCGUAGACGGCUGUACAAGUCUGAAGGGAAAGCACGUGGCUCAACCGAGGAACUGCUUUGGAAACUG